rnacentral:rRNA from 1 species
UACGUAGGGGGCAAGCGUUGUCCGGAAUUAUUGGGCGUAAAGAGCGCGUAGGCGGUCCGAUAAGUCGGCUGUGAAAGUCAGGGGCUCAACCCUUGGAAGCCGGCCGAUACUGUCGGACUAGAGUCCGGAAGAGGCGAGUGGAAUUCCCGGUGUAGCGGUGAAAUGCGCAGAUAUCAGGAAGAACACCCGUGGCGAAGGCGGCUCUCUGGGACGGUACUGACGCUGAGACGCGAAAGCGUGGGGAGCAAACAGG